GUCCUCAAGAACACAUGGAGGUGACCAAGAACCCAAUGAUCACUCUAACGUAGCUCCAGAGUUCCUCUGUGGAGAUGGGAGAAUAUUCCAGAAGGACAACCAUCUUUGCAGCACACCAACAAUCAGGCCUUUAUGGUAGAGUGGCCAGAUGGAUGCCACUCUUUAGUAAAAGGCACAUGACAGCCCACUUGGAGUUUGCCAAAAGGCACCUAUAGACACUCAGACCAUGAGAAACAAGAUUCUGUGGUCAGAUGAAACCAAGAUUGAACUCUUUGCCAAGCAUCACAUCUGGAGGAAACCUGACACCAUCCCUACGGUGAAGCCUGGUGGUGGCAGCAUCAUCCUGUGGGGAUAAUUUUCACCUUCAGAGAAUGGGUGAAACUCUCCACAGGUGUGCCAAGCUUGUAGUGUCAUACUCAAGAAGACUCAAUGAUGUAAUUGCUGCUAAAAGUGCUUCAACAAAGUACUGAGUGAAUGGUCUGAAAACUUUUUUUUAAAACUUUUUUUUUUAAAUAUCCAUUUGCAAAAAAAAGUUAAAACUUGUUUUUGCUUUGUUGUUGUGGGGGAUUGUGUAUAGAUUGAUGAGGGUAAAAAAACUAUUUAAUCAAUUUUAGAAUAAGGCUGUAAUGUAACAAAAUGUGGAAAAAGUCAAGGGGUCUGAAUACUUUUCAAAUGCACUUUAGGAGGACCUGUUUGUUUGUUAACCUCUCAACACAGAAUAGCCACAGGUGCGCACUUCCUUUUAAAUAGUUUGGAGAAAAUAUCCUUUCUAUUUUAUUCAGCAAUGUUCAAUUGUAUUCUUCAUACUAUAAUAUAAUAAAAAUAUUGUAUGCAAUGCGUGGAAGCCAGGAGAUGCUAAAUGUGUUUAUUAUCAAGGAUAUCUCCAGAGUGUGGUGUGGUCAGCCCAACGCAUCAUCGGGGGCACACUGCCUGCCCUCCAGGACAUUUACAGCACUCAGUGUCAAAGGAAGGCCAAGAAGAUCCUUUAGGACCUCAGACACGGUCUGUUCACUCUGCUUCCAUUUAGCAGACAGACAGUAUAGGAGCAUCAGAACCAGGACCGAGAGACUGAGAAACAGCUUCUAUCACCAGGGCAUCAGACUGUUGAACAGCCAUCACUAGCCAGCUACCUUUACAGUACUCAGACCUGCACCUUGAUACUAAUGCUCCAUGUACUGAACAGUCGUGGUAAAAAUUUUUGAGAAUGACACAAAUAUGAAUUUCCACAAAGUUAGACUCACUUCUAGACUCACUCCAAUUUGCUGACAGCCCCAAUGAUCCACACCCUC
ensembl:lncRNA